rnacentral:lncRNA from 1 species
UUAUCAACCGAGUCAAUGAGGUCGGGGUCGAUGUCAACCGUGCCAUUGCCCACCCUUACAGCCAGGCCUUGAUCCAGUAUGUUUGUGGCCUGGGACCUCGGAAAGGGACCCACCUCCUGAAGAUCCUGAAGCAGAACAACACCCGGCUCGAGAGCCGGACCCAGCUGGUCACCAUGUGCCACAUGGGUCCCAAAGUCUUCAUGAAUUGUGCUGGCUUCCUCAAGAUCGACACGGCCUCCCUGGGGGACAGAAGUUAUCAACUCAGUCUUUGGAGGAUCUUUUCCACGGGCACAUAGCUCCUCAUUCAGUAAUGGAAAUCAGUGGGGAAAUAGGCUUCAAGUUCUAAAACUUCAUUUUCCACUCAGCUUUGCUGUAACACUCCACGAAUAACAUAGGUCCAUGUGAGUGCACGGGCAAGACCAGCC